rnacentral:SRP_RNA from 1 species
GCCAGGCACGGUGGUGCAUGCCUGUAGUCCUAGCUGCUCCAGAGGCUGAGGCUGGAGGAUCACUUGAGUCCAAGAGUUCUAGACUAUAGUGCUAUGCUGAUCGGGUGUCCGCACUCAGUUUGGCAUCAGUACGGUGACCUCCUGGGAGCGGGGGACCACCAGGUUGCCUAAGGAGGGGUGAACUGGCCCAGAUCGGAAACGGAGCAGGUCAGAACUCUCGUGCUGAUCAGUAGUGGGAUAGCACCUGUUAAUAGCCGCUGCACUCUAGCCUGAGCAAAAUAGUGAGACCGUCUCUU